rnacentral:rRNA from 1 species
GAUGAACGCUGGCGGCGUGCCUAAUACAUGCAAGUCGAGCGAACAGACGAGGAGCUUGCUCCUCUGACGUUAGCGGCGGACGGGUGAGUAACACGUGGAUAACCUACCUAUAAGACUGGGAUAACUUCGGGAAACCGGAGCUAAUACCGGAUAAUAUAUUGAACCGCAUGGUUCAAUAGUGAAAGACGGUUUUGCUGUCACUUAUAGAUGAAUUCGGGCCGCAUUAGUUAGUUGGUAAGUUAACGGCUUACCAAGGGGACGAUGCGUAGCCGACCUGAGAGGGUGAUGGGCCACCCUGGAACUGAGCCACGGUCAAGACUCCUACGGGAGGCGGCAGAAGGGAAUCUUCGGAAAUGGGCGAAAGCCUGACGGAGCAACGCGGCGUGGGUGAUGAAGUUCUUCGGAUCGUAAAACUCUGUUAUUGGGGAAGAACAAAUGUGUAAGUAACUAUGCACGUCUUGACGGUACCUAAUCAGAAAGCCACGGCUAACUACGUG